rnacentral:rRNA from 1 species
UUACUCCUACGGGAGGCAGCAGUGGGGAAUUUUGGACAAUGGGCGCAAGCCUGAUCCAGCAAUGCCGCGUGUGUGAAGAAGGCCUUCGGGUUGUAAAGCACUUUUGUCCGGAAAGAAAACCUCGUGGUUAAUACCCGUGGGGGAUGACGGUACCGGAAGAAUAAGCACCGGCUAACUACGUGCCAGCAGCCGCGGUAAUACGUAGGGUGCAAGCGUUAAUCGGAAUUACUGGGCGUAAAGCGUGCGCAGGCGGUUCGCUAAGACAGAUGUGAAAUCCCCGGGCUUAACCUGGGAACUGCAUUUGUGACUGGCGGGCUAGAGUAUGGCAGAGGGGGGUAGAAUUCCACGUGUAGCAGUGAAAUGCGUAGAGAUGUGGAGGAAUACCGAUGGCGAAGGCAGCCCCCUGGGCCAAUACUGACGCUCAUGCACGAAGCUACCGUAACUUCC